rnacentral:lncRNA from 1 species
UUAAAAUUUUCAAAGACUUUUUCAAAUUUUCUGAAAUUUGAAAAUGAAAUUUCAUGUUUGUAAGUACAAAUAUUUACAACUAGAAUAUUCAUAACUCAAGGAACAAGCAUAAUUUAUAUAUUUAGCAUAGAAAUACAUUUAAUAAUAAUGAUUGAUACAAAUUCAGAAUUUUGAAACACAUAUUCAGUUUUAUAUAGUGAUUCAUCUAUAAAUUGGCUGAUGUAUAAUUGGUCCAUGCCAAUACAAAUAAAGAUCAAUCAAUAUCAAAAUAAUUUGUUAAAUUCAUACACUAUUUAUUUGAAAGCAUAUCUUGAGAUGAAGCCAAAAAUAGAAAUGUUAUAUAUUACAAUCACCUUGUGAAUGAUUGGGUAAGAAUAAAAUGGAUAAGAGAGAGAUUUAGUGAUAAUCUGUUGGAUCCAUGAUUGCAACUAUUAGGCGAGACAUUUCUAUAAAAUGCAUAAGAUCUGGAACAAAAUAUAUAUGAUUUCAUCAUAUUAAAUAAAAUUGAUGCCAAUCUAUAAUAGCAUAGCAAUAUUCUUAAAUUUUUAUUAUUGAUCUAUGAUUAAUAGUGUUCACUGUGUUUCAGAUUACUGAAUAGGCAUGGUUGAUUAUCUCAAAUGAAAGAUUUGAAAAUAACAAGUUCCAUUUGAAAAGUUAAUUGUGUAAAUUUGAUAUGGAAAAAUAAUUGUGAUCAACUGUCUAUGAUAAAGAAUAGAUGGUGCAAGAAGCUUUUGUAUUUGAAACUUUCUUUUAUCUUUUUUCAUUCAUUUUGAGAUGAAAUUUGUUGUAGGAAUUUAAUUUUUUUCACAUUGAUCAGUAAAUACUUACAUUGUUUUAUUCAAUACUUUAUCUACAUCCAUGAAAUGUUUAAAAUUCCCUCCUAUUGUUUCUCGCUAUCCACUUUCACACACUCAUUUGAGCAGAGAAUGCUUGGAGUAUGUAAAAUUUGUAUUUUUGAAUUUAUUCUCAAGAUAUACUUUCAAGGGAUGAUUUUAAUUUUUUUCUUUGACAUUAAAAUUGCCUUUCUCUUGUUACAUAUAAAUUCCUUUUGGAAGGCUCAUAAGUUGGAAACUUGUCUAUCAUGUACCAAAAUUCACCAAAUAAUUUAAAAAUGAUUAAAAUAAUUAAUUAAAAUCAUUUAACUGCAUAAUAUAGUAUAUAAGAAAGAUUUAAAAAUAGCACAAAAUUAUUAAUUUAAAAUAUUCAUAUAAAAUGCAAUAUUUGGAAAACCAGUUUUUUGAUAAAUUAACUGAUUUUUUUCAUUUCAAAGGUGGCCAGCCUAUCAGUGAAUCACUGUGAUUUUAAAUGCACAAAUAUAUAUAUACCAGUAUACACAUAAUUGAUGAUAAUAUGAUAUUUAUUUUUAACAUAGAAAAAUAAUUAAAAUAAUUUUUAUUGAAAAUAC